rnacentral:rRNA from 1 species
UACGUAGGGUCCGAGCGUUAAUCGGAAUUACUGGGCGUAAAGCGUGCGCAGGCGGUUUUGUAAGCCAGAUGUGAAAGCCCCGGGCUUAACCUGGAAAUGGCAUUUGGGACUGCAAGGCUGGAGUACGGCAGAGGGAGGUGGAAUUCCAGGUGUAGCAGUGAAAUGCGUAGAUAUCUGGAGGAACACCGAUGGCGAAGGCAGCCUCCUGGGCUAGUACUGACGCUCAUGCACGAAAGCGUGGGGAGCAAACAGG